UUGUGCGUCACAUCCGGUGGAAUAUUCUAGCGGAUUCGUCUGUGGGGCUUUAAAAGCAGGCGCGCUGAGACGCAAAGUGAGAUACUUUGGACAGGAGAAUCAUUAUUGGAAUGCGAUAAACAGCCACUUUGUACACAUGAAGAAGUAACUAUUACAGAAGAGAGAUUUAUUUAAUACGAUUGUUUAGUUCCAUUCAAGACGUGUCAAUCAUUUGCACUAUUUCAGCAGCAUCUUUAGGUCAUUCCAGCUGUUGUGCUGUGGGCAGACUGACGCAGAGAGAACCAUGAUUCUGCUGACUCCAUCCUCUGGUAAGUGAUUGUUUUUGGGUGCCCCUGGGCAAAUGUGCAUGACAAGGUUUUGAUUAUCUGUGUCAACACUAGAGGUCCUGGUAAGAAUCAUGCAAAACUUGUAUCCUGUUUUAUAAGUGUGGUGGUAAGGUACUGUAGUAUGCAGUAUUUGAGGGUAGAUGCAGUAGAUGGAAAUAGUCAAGCCCAAAGGGUCAAGUCAAAGACACACGCAUAGUCAAGCCCAAAGGGUCAAGUCAAAGACACACGCAUGUGAAGAGCCGGGUUGAGGACAGCUAUGAGCCACUAGGCAUAAUGAUGAUGAUGAUGAUAAUAAUUAUGUGUUUAGGUGCUGUAGCUAACAUAGAAGUGAGUGUCGUUUUUUCACAUCUGAGAUCACGUUUUUCCCUUAUACUUGUACUAGAUUAGAGAUAUAGCAGGUUGUCUACUUUCAAAUGAUACAGUGGAUAAUACAUAUUGUUACUCAUCAAUAUAUGUGAUUAUGUAGAUUUUAAUUUAAUGCUACAGCAAUAUCCUUUAUCUCUAUUUUUCCCCCCUUUCUUAUUCAUUAUAACCUGAAAGGCAAAACUCAUCCUAGAUCAGCACUUCUACUCUGAGACACUGAAUAUGGGCCCAGAAAUACUAACUUAAAAGUGUGAAUGUGUCUAGCUCUGGCUUGAUAGUUGGUGGUAUUUUUUCAGUGGUGAGACAGAAUUGACUGGCUGGAUUAGGGAUCAGACCUGGCGUAUCCUUUCCACUGAGUUGUGAAACACAAGAUGGCCAUUUUUAUUUUUCCGGAAGAGUAAGAAGUGUGUUUCUGUUCUAACUGGGUUAUUUCAAUAUUUUAAAACAUUCUAGGCUAAACAGACACAGCUUAGUGGAAGAUACUGUAAAUAUAUCUGGUUAUUGAUUUAGCAUAGUUUACCAUUUUGGGUUUUCUGGUUAGGUUGUCGAAAGCCAGGUAAUGUAAAUCGGAAAUGAGAAGCAUGCUUGUCAAGUGAACUUAACUUCUUCUUAGAAGUUGUUGUUGGCUUGUGCUUUGUCUCAUACACUGUUUUCUUUCAGAUGAAGAGUCUGUUGAACUCGACUGGCUUUGGAAUCACAUGAAGUUCUGUGUGCAAAACAGAAUAGUAGGAACAUGACUUUAACCCUUUUUCACGUACAGACGUUAGACUGUUUUUUUUUGUUAAGUUGCUAUGGUAAGCUUUUUAUUUAUGUUUAUUUUAUUUAGUGCUAUGUGUGUCUUUGUCUGCGAAGACAACCUCUUUGCUACUUUUAUCACUUCAGUUUAUUAACUUCUGUGUGAAAUCUAAACUCUCUAGCAGAGCCACAGACACUCAAGAACAAAGAUCCCUUUGUUUGCCUUAAUUGAAAACCCUCACAGCAUUGCAAGGAACAAAAACAGUUCUGGCCAUUGUGAAGCAGCUUGCAUCAUUAGACCUUCCAGCUUGCUAAGUAAGAUGACCUAUACAUGAUGCCUUUCAAUAUGUUUCAAGAUUCUGUCAUUAUUAAUUCAAUGAGAGUCAAAUUAAAUUGCCCUUACAUUCUUUCUUUGAUUACUUUAAUAACUGUGAUGGAAUUACUCAGUAUUAUACAGUUACUUCUGAUAGGAACUUUGUUAUAACAAUACUUGGUUUCCACAUAACAAAUGUAUAAGGAAACUGUAUUUGCAAGUAAUUACUAUGCCAUUUCUACAAACUAUGACAAAGACAGACAACAGACAAACUGUUAAAGAUAGAUCUUUUUUUUUAAUAGCUACCCAUCCAUGUGAAAUAUGCUGCCAUGUGUUUGUCAUUGUUCCAGGUCACAGGUUUUGCCAGUCAACCAGCUUAAUGAAUCAACAGCCCGGUAGAGUCAAUAUCUCAGGGUUGCACUAUAGUUGUAUGUGUGGAGGAUAGUCCAUUACUAUAGUAUAGUACUAUGUGUGGACAGUCCAUGACUAAAUCAUAGUAAUAUGUAUGCACAGUCCCUUACUCCCUCCCCACCAGUCUGUCUCCACUAUAAAUGUACUAUACACUGCCGGUCAAAGUUGUAGAACACCUACUCAUUCAAGGGUUUUCUUUAUUUUUACUGUUUUCUACAUUGUAGAAUAAUAGGGACGACAUCAAAACUAUGAAAUAACAAUUAUUCAAUAAUGUAGUAACCAAAAAGUAUUAAACAAAUCAAAAUAUAUUUGAGAUUCUUCAAAUAGCCACCCUUUGCCUCGAUGACAGCUUGGUAUUCUCUCAACCAGCUUCACCUGGAAUGCUUUUCCAGCAGUCUUGAAGGAGUUCCCACAUAUGCUGAGCACUUGUUGGCUGCUUUUCCUUCCCUCUGCGGUCCGACUCAUCCCAAACCAUCUCAAUUGGGUUGAGGUCGGGUGAUUGUGGAGGCCAGGUCAUCUGAUUCAGCACUCCAUCACUCUCCUCCUUGGUCAAAUAGCCCUAACACAGCCUGGAGGUGUGUUGGGUCAUUGUCCUGUUGAAAAACAAAAGAUAGUCCCACUAAGCGCAAACCAGAUGGGAUGGCGUAUCGCUGCAGAAUGCUGUGGUAGCCAUGCUGGUUAAGUGUGCCUUGAAUUCUAAAUAAAUCACAGACAGUCUCACCAGCAAAGCACCCCUACACUAGAACACCACCUCCUCCAUGCUUUAUGGGGGAAAUGCACAUGCGGAGAUCAUCCGUUCACCCACACCGCAUCUCACAAAGACACGGCGGUUGGAACCAAAAAUCUCAAAUUUGGACUCCAGUCCAAAGGACAAAUGUCCACCGGUCUAAUGUCCAUUGCUCGUGUUUCUUGGCCCAAGCAGUCUCUUCUUAUUGGUGUCCUUUUGUAGUGGCUUCUUUGCAGUAAUUCGACCUGAUUCACACAGUCAUCUCCUGUUGAGAUCUCUGUUACUUGAACACUGAAGCAUUUACUUAGGCUGCAAUUUCUGAGGCUGGUAACUAAUGAACGUAUCUUCUGCAGCAGAGGUAACUGUGGGUCUUCCAUUCCUGUGGUGGUCCUUAUGAGGGCCAGUUUCAUCAUAGCGCUUGAUGGUUUUUACGACUGCACUUGAAGAAACAAAGUUUUUGAAAUUUUCCAUAUUGACUGACCUUCAAGUAAUGAUGGACUGUCGUUUCUCUUUGCUUAUUUGAGCUGUUCUUGCCAUAAUAUGGACUUGGCCUUAUACCAACUAGUAUCCCCCCCUACCUGGUCACAACACAACUGAUGGGCUCAAAUGCAUUCAGAAGGAAAGAAAUUCCACAAAUUAACUUUUAAGAAGGCACACCUGUUAAUUGAAAUGCAUUCCAGGUGAUUACCUCAAGAAGCUGGUUGAGAGAAUGCCAAGAGUGGAAAGCUGUCAUCAAGGCAAAGGGUGGCUACUUUGAAGAAUCUGAUUUGUUUAAAACUUUUUUUUGGUUACUAUAUGAUUCCAUAUGUGUUAUUUCAUCUUCACUACUAUUAUACAAUGUAGAAAAUAGUAAAAUAAAAAAAAACUUGAAUGAGUAGGUGUUCUAAAACUUUUGACCGGUAGUGUAUAUUUGCAAAAUAAGUAUUACAUGAGUCACUAUGACAAUAUUGACACUAUCAAAUGGUGUUUACUGUACAUACUGAGCCAGCCCCCUCAUUUGAAUGUUUUAUUCUGAAAAGUGGAAUAGUCUAUCGAAUGGUGGGUCUCCAAUAAACGUACAUACUACUUGGUAAGUGCUACUACUUUUUAUUAGUUACAUGAAUCAGUUUUGUAUAGGUUUGUAAAUAAUGUACAAUUUGUAUAUUAAAAAUGACAUUUCUUUGCAAAUGUUCAUUCUUUGAUAACGAAAUACAUGAUUUAAUACUGUGUGCUUCAAAAAAUUAUAAUUGUUACAAUCUAAAUCACUUGUAUAUGUAUUUAGGUAAUACCAUAUACUCAACAUGCUGGUUACAAGUACUGCUGUAGGGUGGGUGCAUGGGGCUUUACUUUGGCCCUUUAAUUUUCACUCCUCUUUUUUCCAUAUCUUGGUACAACUGCUGAUUGCUGUCCUGGUGUUGAGGGGCCACUUAAGUAGCAAGUCAUAUGAGCCAAACAAGUUAAACCUGAUCAUUUGCAAAACAAAAUUGUUAUAGCAAUGAUUAUUUUGCCUGUUUGGUUUGUUUGACAUCCGUUUAAACAGGAUAGCACUUUUGGCGUACUGUACAGCAGUAUAAGUAUGGCCAUCAGAUAUGAUAUGGUCCUAUCAUAUCUGUAGUGUUUUAGCAACAAUCCUCUUCAGAGCAGCUAAGUGAACCUAAAAUAGACCACUAGCUAAUAGCAAUCACUGUCCUCACUGUUCUCAGGUUUCUUCCAGCACACCAAUAAGCUCUUGCUGAGCGAGCAGGCCACUGGUGUCCAGCUCAAGGAGUUUGUACGCAAAAAUGCAGCCAAUGCUCUGUCUAUGGCCAACAUGCUCAUGGGCAUGGCCUCUAUUCUCUGCAGCCUGAACGGCUGAUAGGAGUGGAACCUGGUGUGGUCGUCUGAUGCAAUAGCCCAUCUGUGACAAGGACCAACGAGUUGUACGUUCCCAGAUGCCGUUCUGCACACCACUUUUGUACUGCGCUGUUAUUUGCCGGUUUGUGGCCCGCCUGUUAACUUGCACGAUUCUUGCCAUUGUCCUUCAACCUCUCAUCAACGAGCUGUUUUCACCCACAGGACUGCCGCUGACUGUUUUUUGUUUAUUUCACCACUCUCAGUAAACCUUAGACCAGGGGUCUCCAACCUUUUCUAGCAUGAGAGCUAGUUUGAAUUUUUUUAAACAUGUCAUGAGCUACUUUUUCCCCCCAAAUAGGCACAUUCUUCUCUCCCCUGCAACUCUUCCGAGUCCUUAGUGUACAAGAGAAAGUAGUGCACUGUUUUCUGUCAAUAUACAUGGUUAAUAAACAACUUUAAGGGGGCACUAUAAAAUCGACAAGUUUAUUCUCUCACAAAUUAUGUUUUAUAAUUUCCCAAAUUAUGUUGUCAGUGUUAUUUCUUUGCUGUUUUAGAUUAACUUUUUUUUAUCACUCAAUUACAAUUGUUCAUAGAAAAAUAAUGAAAUUAGAAGUUCUGAGUUCAGGUCAAUGGUUAAAUAACAUUAGAAUACCAUUUUUUUUAGGUCCGGAAGAACACUUAACAAAUGUGGAUUUUUGUUGGUGUAAUUCCCCUUUUUAAUUGUAUCUUGCUCUUUAAUUGCAUGUCUACAGUGGCUUGCGAAAAGUAUUUUUUCCAAUUUCGUUGCCUUACAACCUGGAAUUAAAAUGAAUUUUUUGGGGAGGUUGUAUCAUUUGAUUUAAACAACAUGCCUACCACUUUGAAGAUGCAAAAUAUUUUAACUGUGAAAUAAACAAGAAAUAAGACAAACAGAACUUGAUCUGUUGUGUAUAUAUACACUUAGAUUUCACAUACAUUUAAACUCAGUUUUUCACAAUUCCUGACCUUUAAUCCUAGUAAAAAUUCCCAGUCUAGGUCAGACCACCACUUUAUUUUAAGAAUGUGAAAUGUCAAAAUAAUAGAGAAUUAUUUAUUUGAGCUUUUAUUUCUUUAAUCACAUUCCCAGUGGGUCAGAAGUUUACAUACACUCAAUUAGUAUUUGGUAGCAAUGCCUUCAAAUUGUUUAACUUGGGUCAAACGUUUCAGGUAGCCUUCCACAAGCUUCCCACAAUAAGUUGGGUGAAUAUUGGCCCAUUCCUCCUGACAGAGCUGGUGUAACUGAGUCAGGUUUGUAGGCCUCCUUGCUUGCACACGCUUUUUCAGUUCUGCCCACAAAUGUUCUAUGGGAAUGAGGUCAGAGCUUUCUGAUGGCCACUCCAAUACCUUGACUUUGUUGUCCUUAAGCCAUUUUGCCACAACUUUGGAAGUAUGCUCAUGUCCAUUUGGAAGACCCAUUUACAACCAAGCUUUAACUUCCUGACUGAUGUCUUGAUGUUGCUUCAAUAUAUCCACAUAAUUUUUCGUCCUCAUGAUGCCAUCUAUAUUGUGAAGUGCACCAGUCCCUCCGGCUGCAAAGCACCCCCACAAGAUGAUGCUGCCACCCCCGUGCUUCACGAUUGGGAUGGUGUUCUUCGGCUUGUAAGCGUCCCCAUUUUUCCUCCAAACAUAACGAUGGUCAUUAUGACCAAGCAGUUCUAUUUUUGUUUCAUCAGACCAGAGGACAUUUCUCCAAAAAGUAUGAUCUUUGUCCCCAUGUGCAGUUGCAAUCCGUAGUCUGGCUUUUUUAUGGCGGUUUUGGAGCAGUGGCUUCUUCCUUGCUGAGCGGCCUUUCAGGUUAUGUCAAUAUAGGACUCGUUUUACUGUGGAUAUACAUACUUUUGUAUCUGUUUCCUCCAGCAUCUUCACAAGGUCCUUUGCUGUUGUUCUGGGAUUGAUUAGCAUUUUUCGCACCAAAGUACAUUCAUCUCUAGGAGACAGAACGCGUCUCCUUCCUGCGCGGUAUGACGGCUGCGUGGUCCCAUGUUUAUACUUGCAUACUAUUGUUUGUACAGAUGAAUGUGGUACCUUCAGGCAUUUGGAAAUUGCUCCCAAGGAUAAACCACUUUUUUUCUGAGGUCUUGGCUGAUUUCUUUAGAUUUUCCUAUGAUGUCAAGCAAAGAGGCACUGAGUUUGAAGGUAUGCCUUGAAAUACAUCCACAGGUCCACCUCCGAUUGACUCACAUGAUGUCAAUUAGCCUAUCAGAAGCUUCUAAAGCCAUGACAUCAUUUUAUGGAAUUUUCCAAGCUGUUUAAAGGCACAAUCAACUUGGUCUAUGUAAACUUCUGACCCACUUGAAUUAUGAUACAGUGAAAUAAUCUGUCUGUGAACAAUUGUUGGAAAAAUUACUUGUGUCAUGCUCAAAAGUAGAUGUCCUAACUGACCUGCCAAAAUUAUAGUUUGUUAACAAGAAAUUUGAGUAUGUGGUUGAAAAACGAGUUUUAAUGACUCCAAGUUAAGUGUAUGUAAACUUCCGACUUCAACUGUAUGCAUGCACAACUUUUCCGUUUUUUUUUUUUUUACUUCACCAAUUGACUAUUUUGUGUAUGUCCAUUACAUGAAAUCCAAAUAAAAAAAUUAAAUACAGGUUGUAAUGCAACAAAAUAGGAAAAACGCCAAGGGGGAUGAAUACUUUUGCAAGGCACUGUAGCGAGUGAGGAAUGGGCACUUUUAGUGUGCCAGUCUAGUGAUGGUUCUUUACUGCUGCCACUCAUUUCAUGGCAGUUUGCAUAUAGAAAAUAGAUACAAAUGACAUAUUUACUCAUGAUAUACUUCUGCCAGGUAAGCCUACUUUGCAGUUAACAUUUAAUUGACAAGGUUAUGGGGAAAGUAUUUCUGUCAACCCAGGAGACGGUAAUCACAUCAACUGGCUACACACAGGGAUAGACAAUGUGCACACCAGACAGACUGGGCUAUAUUGCUGGAAAUUGCUUGGCAUUUUUAAGCCAAUAGUGGCUAACCAAGUGUGGGAUAAUGUUAAUGUUGGGUUGAUUAGAUAGUAGCUGUAGAUAGUAGCUGGGAGCUUGCAGUGUCUGAUACCUGUGAUAUUUGUUUAUGACAGUUUGCAGAAGAACACGUGAAUUGCAUGUACUUUCAGAAUUGUUUGUUGAGCUAAUCAAAGGUGGGCUGGGCUGUGAACUACUGGUAGCUCGCGAUCAACCUGUUGGAGACCCCUGCCUUAGACACUGUAGUGCUUGGAAAAACCCAGGAUGCCGGCCGUUUCUGAGAUACUGGAUCCGGCGCACUUGGCACUGACAAUUAUACCAUGCUCAAGGUCGCUUAGGUCACUUUUUUUACCCAUUCUAACGUUCAAUCAAACAGUAACUGAAUGCCUCGACGUCUGCCUGCUUUACGUAGCCAGCCACAUGUCUCACUGUCUUUAGGAGCGAACCAUUUUCAUGAACUGGCCACUGAGUGUAUAUGGUGUGACAAGCAGCUAAGUAAGUAGAAUAUACAGUAUAUCUUCUGCCAUCAAGCAUCCUAAGUAGGUCCAGUGGUAACAAACAAGUAAUGCGUAGGUUAUAAUUGUGUAAUUACAGUUUUAUCAUGUAAGUACCUAGUGAUUUCUGUAUUGCAAAAUAAAAUUCUACCCAACAUUCGACCCUCAUU